rnacentral:rRNA from 1 species
CCUACGGGAGGCAGCAGUGGGGAAUAUUGCACAAUGGGGGAAACCCUGAUGCAGCAACGCCGCGUGAGUGAUGACGGUCUUCGGAUUGUAAAGCUCUGUCUUUGGGGACGAUAAUGACGGUACCCAAGGAGGAAGCCACGGCUAACUACGUGCCAGCAGCCGCGGUAAUACGUAGGUGGCGAGCGUUGUCCGGAUUUACUGGGCGUAAAGGGAGCGUAGGCGGAUUUUUAAGUGGGAUGUGAAAUACCCGGGCUCAACCUGGGUGCUGCAUUCCAAACUGGGAAUCUAGAGUGCAGGAGGGGAGAGUGGAAUUCCUAGUGUAGCGGUGAAAUGCGUAGAGAUUAGGAAGAACACCAGUGGCGAAGGCGACUCUCUGGACUGUAACUGACGCUGAGGCUCGAAAGCGUGGGGAGCGAACAGGAUUAGAUACCCUGGUAGU